rnacentral:rRNA from 1 species
CGCAUCUGUGCAUGCAGCAUAUCAAUAAGCGGAGGAAAAGAAACUAACAAGGAUUCCCUUAGUAACGGCGAGUGAAGCGGGAAGAGCUCAAAUUUGAAAUCUUCAAGGUUUUACCUUGACGAAUUGUAGUUUAAAGAAGUGUUUUCUGUUGAAGUUUUGGUAAAAGUUCUUUGGAAUAGGACAUCAUAGAGGGUGAGAAUCCCGUAUUUGACCAUUAUUUUCAGCUGUGUGAUACACUUUCAAAGAGUCGGAUUGUUUGGGAAUGCAGUCCAAAAUGGGUGGUAAAUUUCAUCUAAAGCUAAAUAUUGGCGAGAGACCGAUAGCGAACAAGUACCGUGAGGGAAAGAUGAAAAGAACUUUGAAAAGAGAGUUAAACAGUACGUGAAAUUGUCAAAAGGGAAGCGUUUGACACCAGUGUUGUUUUCUCGAAAAUCAAUUAAAAAGAGUUUAGAUUUUGUUGUGUAUUGACCUUAACAGCUAGCAUUUCAAUUUUCUUGCUUUUUUUAAUGCACUUUUCGUUUAACAAGUCAACAUCAGUUUCUUUUGUUGUAAAAAGGUCAUUGGAAGGUGGCUUUCUUUUCGGAGAAAGUGUUUAUAGCCUUUGACUCCUGCAAUCGGAGAGACUGAGGUCUGCAGCGUAGAUCCUUCGGGGUUAGAUACAUUUGUGCUAAGUUAUAGCUUUUUAUAGACAACUUGUUGACUAUGAUUAGUCUUGUAGCUUACUCCCUUAUGCUAUUUUACCUACGCUUAGGAUGUUGAUGUGAUACUGCGAGCA